rnacentral:ncRNA from 17 species
GUAUGAAACGGGAAUGAGGUUCUCCCACGAUUAAUUCGAAACCGCUAAAUUUAGCUGAUGACUUCUGUGUAGAC